UUCAGCGUGCCGGAGGCGGCGCCCUUCACCGCGGUGCUCAAGUUCGCCGCCGAGGAGUUCAAGGUUCAGCGUGCAGGUCUUGCUGUGCGUCAAGCGCCUGGUCUACACCAACGACGCAGGGGAGGUCGUCAAGGGCGUCUGCUCCAAUUUCCUCUGUAUCUGGUCUGAAAUCAAGUCAAAUUAACUUCUAAGCAUUUAGGUUUAGCAAGUCAAAUUAUCAGUUUCAUACAUUCUUUGAUUCCAGAGAUGCCGUCGUAUGUCGUGUACAAGAGUAAGGUUUCCGGAGU